rnacentral:rRNA from 1 species
CUGGGGGUGCUUACCAUGCAAGUCGAACGCGAAAGAGACUUCGGUCUUGAGUAGAGUGGCGCACGGGUGAGUAACGCGUAGAUAACCUGUCUUAGUGUCUGGAAUAAUACACCGAAAGGGGUACUAAUACCGGAUAUUCUUGCUUUUCAUAAGGUUUGCAAGCAAAGGUGGCCUCUGAUUCAAGCUAUCGCAUUAAGAGGGGUCUGCGUACCAUUAGCUAGUAGGUGGGGUAAUGGCCUACCUAGGCAACGAUGGUUAGCGGGUCUGAGAGGAUGAUCCGCCACACUGGCACUGGAACACGGGCCAGACUCCUACGGGAGGCAGCAGUGAGGAAUAUUGCGCAAUGGGGGCAACCCUGACGCAGCGACGCCGCGUGAGUGAGGAAGGCCCUCGGGUCGUAAAGCUCUGUCAAGAGGAAAGAAGUGCAUAGCGGUUAAUACCCGUUGUGUUUGACGGUACCUCUAAAGGAAGCACCGGCUAACUCCGUGCCAGCAGCCGCGGUAAUACGGAGGGUGCAAGCGUUGUUCGGAAUCACUGGGCGUAAAGGGCGCGCAGGCGGCUUGGUAAGUCAGAUGUGAAAGCCCACGGCUUAACCGUGGAAGUGCAUUUGAAACUGUCAGGCUUGAGUACCAGAGGGGAAAGUGGAAUUCCCGGUGUAGAGGUGAAAUUCGUAGAUAUCGGGAGGAAUACCGGUGGCGAAGGCGACUUUCUGGCUGAGUACUGACGCUGAGGCGCGAAAGCGUGGGGAGCAAACAGGAUUAGAUACCCUGGUAGUCCACGCCGUAAACGAUGUCACUAGAUGUAGGGGUGUUGAUCCCCU